rnacentral:rRNA from 1 species
UACGUAGGCAGCGAGCGUUGUUCGGAGUUACUGGGCGUAAAGAGUGCGUAGGCGGUUUUCUAAGUUUGGUGUGAAAUCUCCCGGCUCAACUGGGAGGGUGCGCCGAAGACUGGAAGGCUUGAGUAUGGGAGAGGUAAGUGGAAUUCCGGGUGUAGUGGUGGAAUACGUAGAUAUCCGGAGGAACACCAGCGGCGAAGGCGGCUUUCUGGUCCGAUACUGACGCUGAGGUGCGAAAGCGUGGGGAGCGAUCCGG